GGGGCUGUAGCUCAGUGGUAGAGUGCUUGCCUAGCAUGCAUGAGGCACUGAGUUCAAUCCUCAGUACCA
rnacentral:tRNA from 1 species